UAACGCGUGAGGAACCUGCCUUUCAGAGGGGGACAACAGCUGGAAACGGCUGCUAAUACCGCAUAACAUAUAGGUAUCGCAUGGUGCCUAUAUCAAAGAUUUAUCGCUGAAAGAUGGCCUCGCGUCUGAUUAGCUAGUUGGUAGGGUAACGGCCUACCAAGGCGACGAUCAGUAGCCGGACUGAGAGGUUGGCCGGCCACAUUGGGGACUGAGAUACGGCCCAGACUCCUACGGAAGGCAGCAG
rnacentral:rRNA from 1 species